rnacentral:rRNA from 1 species
AACGAACGCUGGCGGCAUGCCUAACACAUGCAAGUCGAACGAGACCUUCGGGUCUAGUGGCGCACGGGUGCGUAACGCGUGGGAACCUGCCCUUAGGUUCGGAAUAACUCCCCGAAAGGGGUGCUAAUACCGGAUAAUGUCUACGGACCAAAGAUUUAUCGCCUUUGGAUGGGCCCGCGUUGGAUUAGCUAGUUGGUAGGGUAAAAGCCUACCAAGGCGACGAUCCAUAGCUGGUCUGAGAGGAUGAUCAGCCACACUGGGACUGAGACACGGCCCAGACUCCUACGGGAGGCAGCAGUGGGGAAUAUUGGACAAUGGGCGAAAGCCUGAUCCAGCAAUGCCGCGUGAGUGAUGAAGGCCUUAGGGUUGUAAAGCUCUUUUACCCGGGAUGAUAAUGACAGUACCGGGAGAAUAAGCCCCGGCUAACUCCGUG